AUGUGGGCUUUGUCGAAGACCGCUUUACUUUCUAUAAGUAGAUUGGUUCAAAACGAAGCCCAAAGCAAUUUUUGUUACGACGGUCACUGAUUCUAGCAUCUUCCAGCACUUUCAGUAACUUUUACGUGCAAUUACAGAU